rnacentral:rRNA from 1 species
UGGAGAGUUUGAUCCUGGCUCAGAUUGAACGCUGGCGGCAUGCCUUACACAUGCAAGUCGAACGGCAGCACGGGCUUCGGCCUGGUGGCGAGUGGCGAACGGGUGAGUAAUACAUCGGAACGUGCCCUGUCGUGGGGGAUAACUAGUCGAAAGAUUAGCUAAUACCGCAUACGACCUGAGGGUGAAAGCGGGGGACCGAAAGGCCUCGCGCGAUAGGAGCGGCCGAUGUCUGAUUAGCUAGUUGGUGGGGUAAAAGCCUACCAAGGCGACGAUCAGUAGCUGGUCUGAGAGGACGAUCAGCCACACUGGGACUGAGACACGGCCCAGACUCCUACGGGAGGCAGCAGUGGGGAAUUUUGGACAAUGGGGGCAACCCUGAUCCAGCAAUGCCGCGUGUGUGAAGAAGGCCUUCGGGUUGUAAAGCACUUUUGUCCGGAAAGAAAUCCCCUGCCCUAAUACGGCGGGGGGAUGACGGUACCGGAAGAAUAAGCACCGGCUAACUACGUGCCAGCAGCCGCGGUA